rnacentral:sRNA from 1 species
AAUCUGCAACAUGCUGCUGUCUUUGCUGAGGCAAAAAUGGAUAAUUGAAUUUCAGUACUACACUGUGUUACUGAUGACCUGACCACCAUCGCAAUCACAUCACUUGGUUGUUUUUCCAUCGAAGUAUCAGCCCUUUUGCGUGCCCGCCGCCAUUCAUCAAAUCCAUCAAUCCCGCUUGUAUCCCUUUCCUCUGCCCCCCCUGGAUCCUCGUGUACAAAAUUUUGCGCGUCGUUUUAAAACAGCUUAAUUACUAUUUGCCUUGUUGUUAUAUAUUUCUUUGUUGUUCAAAAGGGAAAUUCAUCUUUUUUCCAACGAUGCAGAACCGUACUGGGGUACUGCAAGGACAUCUGGAAAGCCGAAAUAAGAAAAGGAGGUUUUUAUUUCGAUAAACAACCUUUCUUUUUUUCUUUCUUCUUUGCCACCCCCCACUAAGAUUGUCCUUAACGGAGCGUUGGCAGACCAAAAUUAAUUCCUGAUCCCAUCUUUCUUCUCUCUAUGGAGGAGCGCGGAUUACGAAUGGGAGAUUAGUUACUCUUAUUAUUAUUAUACACACAGUCCGGGCUCUCUCUCUCUCUCGCUUUCCUGACUCUAUAUCCUUCGCGUCCUUCUCUUCCUAUCCCUUGGAUUGUUUCAAACUCCCGUCCUCUUCUCUCUAUUGCAUUAACUCCACUCAUGUUCUUUGAGCAGGGUUGGUCAUGAGAGGAUGAGCCGUGACUGCAACGAAAAGGGAGUGGGAUGUUAAAGGGGAGGGCGUGGUUGACUGGAGAGAUAGGUUCGAAAGAGUUGAGAGGUGAGAAAAGGAGUGGGAAUGAAUAUAUUUCGUCUCUCCACCGAUGAGAAAGUCCGGAUUGUGUGUCUUGUGUAUCGAUCUCCGACAUUUCUCAGCCCUUGUUCCUAGUCAUCUAUUUCAUAUGAAAGAAAGUAUCUCAAAGGGCCCUUCAUCUGCUAAUAAACUACUACUGAACACAUAUCCAUUAGCUGUUGUUUUUUAUUUCUUGGGAUGACUUCAGCCAUUUGACCCUCAUGCUCAUCUGGAU